CCCCUCUUCCAACCAUGGGCGGGGGUGGAACAAUGAGAGGAAAAGGAGGUGGAGGCAGGAAAAUGGCAGCGGCGACCGUGGCGGUGGCGGCGUUAACGGCGCCAGGAGGAGGCGGCGGCUGUAGUCCGAGGCAAGGCGCUGCUCCGCUCGCCGCCUGGCUCAGCUCGUUGCUGCUGGCAGCGGCUCUCAGCUUGUCCCAGGUUUCAGCUGUGGAAGUAUACACACCAGCAGAACUCUCUGUGGAGAAUGGGACAGAAACGAAGCUUCCGUGCAGCUUUUCAUCCUCAGAGGUGAUCAGCAGUGCCGCUACUGUAACCUGGAGCUUUCAACCAGAGGGAUCAACUACUACUGUGUCGUUCUUCUAUUAUUCCAAUGGCAAAUCAUAUCCUGGGAAGGAUACACAAUUUAAGGACAGAAGCAACUGGGCGGGUGACCUUAACAAGAAAGAUGCAUCUAUCAGUAUAUCCAACAUGCAGUUCCGGGACAAUGGAACUUUCAUCUGCGAUGUCAAGAACCCUCCAGAUAUAGUUGUCACACCUAGUGAAAUCAAAGUCAGAGUUGUGGAAAAAGGUAACUUGCCUGUGUUUCCCAUUACUCUAGUAGCAGGGGCAUCCAUUGGUGGAGUUCUGGGCUUAGUUUUGCUCAUCGUUCUUAUUGUGUGUGUCGCAUGCAGAAAGAAGAAUUCUAAAAAUCAUUACUCUGGAGAUCCUGAUAUAGACGCAAGAUUGGGAAUGUAACAGGGCUGGGUCUCCUCUUCCGGUCCCACUAUAUACCAUGGUAACUAAUCACAUUGGUGGUUGCUCUUUGGUACUUCGUGUGUGUGCGUGUACACAUUUCUGCCUCCUUUGCUGACUACCCGGCUAACAUAUCUCCAUCACUUGUGCUGAAAUUCUGUUUUGUAGACUGUUGGUGAAGGGGCAGCACAUCUCAUCUACUGCUUGAGUUUUGUUGUCUCAUUUCUUCGGUUGUGACGGCAAUGCUCAUUACCUUCAGAAUCUGUAUUCCAUCUCUUGCCAGCAAGCUCAUGUGCAUGAAUGAGUGUGGGGGAUCUGGACUCUGUACACUGUGAGAGGAGAAAAUAAUUCAGUAAAUAACUGGAUUUUCCAUGCAAAGACCUUUAACUCAGUGUUAUUUUUAGAUCCAGGUUACAUGAAUUCUUGGGAUAUACUCCAGACAUUUUUUUUAGUCCCUUGGCCACCUUGUGUGCUGUGAUUCAAUCCCAGUAAGAAUGGAAGCCCAUUUACUGGUACUGAAAUGCCUUUUUUUCUCAGUACUAUAUUUCCCUAUGUACUGCUGCAUAUCUUGUGUCUACUUUUCUAAAUGUUUAAAUAUUCCCGUUGGAUAAGAGAAAAUAAUGGUUUCCAGGGAACUGCAUUCUGCUUAAUGUCAUUGUCACGUUGUCAUGAUCCAUGUCUGCCUGUAUAUGCUGUAUGUGUGUUGUGUAAAGAACACAAAACGAUUGAAAGGGUGGUGAGUAUUCCUCCUAGGCCAAGUUAGGUCCUAUACACAUUGCCCCCAUGGCUGCUUUUUAAAUAGGAAAAGCCAUUCUCAGAGGGAUGAGGAAGGAAGCUUAACCCUUUUCCUGCCCAGUGAUUUCUUCCCUCUCCAAAUUAUUCCCUGCUUGUUGGUGGAACACAACACGCGUUUUGCUCCCACAUCUUCGGUAUCAGCCACUCAUCUAGAAUAGACCUUGUACCAACUUACAUACAGAUACACAACAGUAUUGUUUGGUCCUCAGGUGUCUGUGAGCAUGCGUGUUAGGAAUUAUUGAGAUGCUUAGUCAAUGUUCAGUUUAAUUAAUUUUGAAAUGAUUCCUAGUUUGUUUUUAAGCAGAAGUGAGAGCGCAUCAGUUCAAGGACAUAGCUGACAUAUCAGUACCUCAAGCCCUUUCUAAAUAGAUGUUCCCCAAGUUUCCAAAGCUUUGUACAUGGUAGUAUCAAUAUAUUAGCAGAUAGUAUUCCAGUCGGUGGAUGCUUUCUUUGCUGCAGGCAUUCUAUUUAUUAAAAUGAUUGGACUGAAAAAUUUGGUGAUCAGGAUCUAUUCCAGGCAUCCCCAAACUUCGGCCCUCCAGAUGUUUUGGACUACAAUUCCCAUCAUCCCUGACCACUGGUACUGUUAGCUAGGGAUCAUGGGAGUUGUAGGCCAAAACAUCUGGAGGGCCACAGUUUGGGGAUGCCUGAUCUAUUCUUUGACCUCAGCUACUGUGAAGACAUUGUUUAAGGCAUUUAUAUACUGCCCUUAAUAAUAUUUAUUCCAGAGUGGUUUGUAAUGCACAUUAAAAGAGCCAACAGACAUAAAAUAUACAGUAAAACAAAAUAAACGAACAGGAGAAAUCUAAAUCAAAACAGCAGUGUAAAAUUUCAGUUCCAGUGGCCUAAAAUACUGCAUCCCUUCAACACUGAAAAUACAAACUAUUAAUAUGCCCAAGAGAAUGCAAAUGUCUUAACUGGACAGCUAAAAUAUAAUACAGUGGUCACCAGGCAAGCCUCCUUGGGGACAGAGUCCCAUAACCAUUUGAGGGCAUGUCAUUGCUGAGCACCUGUUCUGUUGUGGCACUUGCAAGAUAGGGUGCAGUCACUAGAAAAGCAACAAUUUUCCGCCUAGUUAGAAAGGAAUCCAUCUUCAACUGUACAUUUAUGUGUAAGUGAAUUCUGAUUUCUCAGGCAGACAGCAAGGAACUACUUCCCUAGAUCCUGAGGCAGGGUCAUCCGUGUGACCCUGUUAGCAAGAAACUGGUUCUUGUGGAAGCUGCUGGCCUCUCUUGGGGCUGCUUUCUUCCAUCCCAAGGCUGGGUUGGAUGUACAUCAGAGAGAAGAGGAGGUUUAGGAGUGAUGGUACUGAGCCAGAACUAGGGAGAGGAUGUAUGUUGUGUUGUUCACCGAGUUCACCCUUUACUUUGGCAUAAGCUGCCACGUCAUCUUGCCAUCACUUGCCUUUGUUUUUGUUUUGUUUUUUUGUUUGCCUCUUGAACAUUGUCCUGCAAACUCUGCUCUGCCACCUCGUCAGCUGCAGUACCUCUGAGAGCUUGGUGUCUCCAGUUAAGCAGGCUCCACGGAAGUCCCCCUCCGACACAGAGGGUCUGGUAAACAGCGUGCCCAUCCGAUCACACCAGGGCCCAGUAAUUUAUGCGCAGUUAGAUCACUCCGGAGGGCGUU